AUACUUCCCUGGCAGGGGAGAUACCAGGAUCAUGAAGGUGGGUUUCCCAGGGUGAGGCUCAUCCAUUGCACUCCGGGUGUGCUGACCCCUGCGAUUUUCCCAAAGGAUGGGAAACUCAGCUGCAUAAUUUGUUGUAGUGGGGGAUUGUGUUUGUACUUUCCUCUG
rnacentral:snRNA from 1 species